rnacentral:rRNA from 1 species
CGCCAGCCUGACGGAGCCAGACCGCGUGGGGGAGGAAGGCCCUUGGGUUGUAAACCCCUUUUCUCAGGGAAGAAGACCUGACGGUACCUGAGGAAUCAGCCUCGGCUAACUCCGUGCCAGCAGCCGCGGUAAUACGGAGGAGGCAAGCGUUAUCCGGAAUUAUUGGGCGUAAAGCGUUCGUAGGGGGCUCGUCAAGUCUGCUGUCAAAGACCGGAGCUCAACUCCGGGCAGGCAGUGGAAACUGGGGAGCUAGAGGGCGGCAGGGGCAGAAGGAAUUCCCGGUGUAGCGGUGAAAUGCGUAGAUAUCGGGAAGAACACCAGAGGCGAAAGCGUUCUACUGGGUCGCACCUGACCCUCAGGGACGAAAGCUAAGGUAGCG